UACCGCUCUCCCCGGGCUCUCUCUUCUCCCCCGACCCCGCUAGGAGCCACCCCGACCAAAGUAAGGGUGGAUUGGGGGUGGAGCCCCGCCUUCACCGCGGCCCUUGGCCCAGCCGCCCCGUCCCCCUCCAACCUGGAGCUGAGAGCUGGGAGCUGAGGACCAGAGACCCAGAGAAAUCAGAGCACUCUUUGCUGCUGUUCUUUAUAUUAUCCUGGCAACACCCGCGAGGCACCCAGAGUCGCCACUGUCAACUGACUUUACAGAGGGGGUGAAGCACCUGGCCCCAGGGAGGGGCAGAGGCAGCCUCCACCUCGCCCAGGCGGAGCGGCGCAGCUCAGCAGCUUAGUGGAGCAGAGGCCGGGACGGCCUCUUACGGCUCCCACUGCGGAGUUCUCAGGAGGUAUCUGGAUUUCAGCUCGGAGGCA
rnacentral:lncRNA from 1 species